UACGAAGGGUGCAAGCGUUACUCGGAAUUACUGGGCGUAAAGCGUGCGUAGGCGGUUUGUUAAGUCCGUUGUGAAAGCCCUGGGCUCAACCUGGGAAUUGCAGUGGAUACUGGCGAGCUAGAGUGCGGUAGAGGAUGGUGGAAUUCCCGGUGUAGCGGUGAAAUGCGUAGAGAUCGGGAGGAACACCCGUGGCGAAGGCGGCCAUCUGGACCAGCACUGACGCUGAGACGCGAAAGCGUGGGGGAGCAAACAGG
rnacentral:rRNA from 1 species